rnacentral:rRNA from 1 species
UACGUAGGGGGCAAGCGUUGUCCGGAUUUAUUGGGCGUAAAGAGCGUGUAGGCGGCCAAGCAGGUCAGCUGUGAAAACUCGAGGCUCAACCUCGAGACGUCGGUUGAAACCGCUUGGCUAGAGUCCGGAAGAGGAGAGUGGAAUUCCCGGUGUAGCGGUGAAAUGCGCAGAUAUCGGGAAGAACACCCGUGGCGAAGGCGGCUCUCUGGGACGGUACUGACGCUGAGACGCGAAGCGUGGGGAGCGAACAGG